GUACCUCUGGGAUCUAGAAUUGUAAGAUUGAGAUAUCAAGGCAAAUAGAACUCAGUAGCUGCUGGUAGGGGCCCUUCAAACAUUCAGGGGCCCCUAGAAAUGGUUUAAUUUUUUUUGAUUUUUAAAACA